UAGAGGAAGUAAAAGUCGUAACAAGGUUUCCGUAGGUGAACCUGCGGAAGGAUCAUUAUUGAAAUAAACCUGAUGAGUUGUUGCUGGUUCUCUAGGGAGCAUGUGCACACUUGUCAUCUUUAUAUCUCCACCUGUGCACCUUUUGUAGACCUGGAUAUCUCUCUGAAUGCUAGCCAUUCAGGUUUGAGGAUUGUCAUUUCAUGUGUCUCUCCUUACAUUUCUAGGUCUAUGUUUCUUCAUAUACUCCAAUGUAUGUUAUAGAAUGUAAUCAAUGGGCUCUUUUGUGCCUAUAAACCUAUACAACUUUCAGCAACGGAUCUCUUGGCUCUCGCAUCGAUGAAGAACGCAGCGAAAUGCGAUAAGUAAUGUGAAUUGCAGAAUUCAGUGAAUCAUCGAAUCUUUGAACGCACCUUGCGCUCCUUGGUAUUCCGAGGAGCAUGCCUGUUUGAGUGUCAUUAAUAUAUCAACCUCUUCAGAUUUUUGUUUGUUGAGCGUUGGAUGUGGGGGUAUUUGCUGGUCUUUCAAAGGUCAGCUCCCCUGAAAUGUAUUAGCGGAACAAUUUGUGGACCGUUCAUUGGUGUGAUAACUAUCUACGCUAUUGACGUGAAGCAGUUCAGCUUCUAACAGUCCAUUGACUUGGACAACUUUUCAUUAAUGUGACCUCAAAUCAGGUAGGACUACCCGCUGAACUUAAGCAUAUCAAUA
rnacentral:rRNA from 1 species